ACCUCAAAAUCUUUUCAGACACUGCAUUAUUAUACUCCUAAGACGUUUGCGAAUCUUUUGAUCGCCAUUGCAGAAGAUGUGUGUAGAAUUAUCUCCGAUCUGAAUCAAAGUAUCUUCGUCUUGCUGCAAAUCAUCACUGAGGUGUCAAAUCGUACCAAAUGAAUACUCGUAGAGGUAGGACUAUGCUGUAACUUGGCUCCAUGAAAACCUUCCUGAUUGAGCUUCUGCAGCAAUUCUUGUGGGUCCAGAUUCCCAUACUCGUGCUUUCGCUCCUUCAGCACUUCCUCCACAAUGGGCGCAGGUGAACCCAACGACAUUUUCCUUUUUCCGCUCGGUCUGUCCUCUACACUCUAUGAUGAAAUUUUACAUAUUUAGAAGCGAAAUUAUAUAUAAACAAACAUAUUACGUUUUUUGCCUCUGAUAAACCAUUUUUCAUUCGGUAAAGAUAUCUUUUAUAAAAGAGCAUGCCGCGAUAUUUAUCUUGACCAUAAAAUAUUUAUCUUUAUACAUAAUAGUAAUUACUUUUAUGGUAUAUACGUUGUCCUUGACCUCAAGCUCGCCGGUAACAGACGCGAGACUCAAGCCAGGUCGUACUUCACUCGGUACAAUACUGCUAGCUAAUUCCGGUUCGAUAAACACGCGGCCCUUCUUCCGCUUUAAUGGCAAUUUUAUCACCUCUCCGCGUUUGAACGUAAUCAAGGGUUUAUCCUUGAACAAAGAGAUUAUGCAAGUUAUUUUAGAGGACACUCUCUUUUUAUAUUUAUAUAUUUUAUAAAUAUAGCGAAUAGAGAAUAUACAAAAUAAAGAUUGCGAACAUAAAUUGUAAAAUUGAGGUACUUAUUAUGUUGAGUAAAAAAUGAAUACUAACUCCGAUGGGUUCGAUAACAAGAUCUGUUCUGUGCUGUGCCAUUGCAGGGGGCUGCGUGUAAACCUCCGGAAUAACGAGAUGUUCUGGCUUCAAGUCUCGUAUGAGUUUAUUAGCCUGAGUAAAAUUCAGAGAGGUAUCGAUGGGACAAUGCACUGCUUUCAUAGCCAAUGGUUGAAAGGGGGCCAAGGCGUCUAUGUACGGAAAAUCGGGCUCUGUAAAACCAAAUACAAUGGAAAAUUAUAUAUGUUACAAACAAAAUAUUAAUAAAAUUAUAAUAAAAAUAAA